AGAGUUUGAUCCUGACUCCGAAUGAAGGCUAGGUGUAUGCUUGACACAUGCGAGUCGAAUGUGAAAGUAAUUAUUACAUUUGCAUGGCGUACGGGUGAGUAAGACUUGAGAAUUUGCCUAAUAAUCUGGAAUAAAUUAUAUUCUUUAAGAAUUUAUAGAUAGUUACCUAUCAUAUAAAGUAAUAAUACCAGAUAAUAAAUAAAGACUAAGUCGUUAUUAGAUAAGCUCAGGUAGGAUUAGGUAGUUGGUGUGGUAAAAGCGCACCAAGCCUAAGAUCCUUAGCUGGUCUGAGAGGAUGAUCAGCCACACUGGGACUGAGAUACGGCCCAGACUCCAUUAGGAGGCAGCAGUGAGGAAUAUUGGACAAUGAGCGAAAGCUUGAUCCAGCAAUACACCGUGAGUGAUGACAGCUUUUAGGUUGUAAAACUCUUUCAUCAAGGAAGAUAAUGACAUUACUUGAAAAAGAAGCCCCGGCAAAUUUCGUGCCAGCAGCCGCGGUAAUACGAAAGGGGCAAGUCUUAUUCGAAAUUAUUGGGCGUAAAGGGUAAGCAGGCGAUUUAUUAAGUUAUUUGUUAAAGGCCUUAGCCCAACUAAGGUAAAGCACUUAAUACUGAUAAAAUAGAAUAAGAUAGAGGAUAGUGGAAUUUCUAAAGGAGGAUUAAGCCCUGUAGAUAUUAGAAGGAACAUCAGUAGCGAAGGCGGCUAUCUGGAUCUUUAUUGACGCUGAGAUACUAAGGCGUAGGUAGCGAAUAGGAUUAGAUACCCUAGUAGUCUGCGCAGUCAACGAUGAGUGUUAAAUCUUGGUAAAUUCUAAUAAGUAGCUAGUAAGAUCGACUAGUAGUAUGUGUUAUUAUACCCAUACUUAUCUUCUGAAAGUAAAACUAUUAUUUAUCAGGGUUACAGCUAACGCUUUAAACACUCCGCCUGGGGAGUACGGCCGCAAGGUUAAAACUUAAAGGAAUUGAC
rnacentral:rRNA from 1 species